rnacentral:snRNA from 1 species
GUGCUCGCUUUGGCAGCACAUAUAUUAAAAUUGGAAUGAUAGAAGAUUAGCAUGGCCUCUGCACAAAGACGACACACGAAUUUGUGAAGCAUUCCAUAUUUUU